rnacentral:rRNA from 1 species
AGAGUGAACGCUGGCGGUAGGCCUAACACAUGCAAGUCGAACGGCAGCACAGUAGGAGCUUGCUCUUACGGGUGGCGAGUGGCGGACGGGUGAGGAAUACAUCGGAAUCUACCUUUUGGUGGGGGAUAACGUAGGGAAACUUACGCUAAUACCGCAUACGCCCUUCGGGGGAAAGCCGGGGACCAGCAAUGGCCUGGCGCUGAUAGAUGAGCCGAUGUCGGAUUAGCUAGUUGGUGAGGUAAUGGCUCACCAAGGCGACGAUCCGUAGCUGGUCUGAGAGGAUGAUCAGCCACACUGGAACUGAGACACGGUCCAGACUCCGUACGGGAGCAGCAGGUGGGGGAAUAGUUGGACAAGUGGGGCGCAAGCCUGAU